UUCAGGUAGCAAGGUACAAUCACUUCAAAUUCUGUGUUACAGGUAUUGGAAAUUAUGCCCUUGCUCAACACUGUUUCAUCAAAUCAAUCCAGUCAGAACAAAUUAAUGCUGUUGCGUGGACCAACUUGGGAGUGUUGUACCUU